GAAAUGCGAUAAGUAGUGUGAAUUGCAGAAUUCAGUGAAUCAUCGAAUCUUUGAACGCACAUUGCGCCCUUUGGUAUUCCAAAGGGCAUGCCUGUUCGAGCGUCAUUUGUACCCUCAAGCUCUGCUUGGUGUUGGGCGUCUUUGUCUUCCCAGAAGACUCGCCUUAAAGUCAUUGGCAGCCGGCCUACUGGUUUCGGAGCGCAGCACAAGUCGCGCUCUCUUCCAGCCAAGGUCAGCGUCCACAAAGCCUUUUUUUCAACUUUUGACCUCGGAUCAGGUAGGGAUACCCGCUGAACUUAAGC
rnacentral:misc_RNA from 1 species